rnacentral:lncRNA from 1 species
UAUGUCAACAUAUAAAAGUUGAGCAUCAGAGACCCAUUAGACCAUUGCAGUCCCUUCUUAUUCCUCAAUGAAAGUGGGAGUAUAGUAUUAUGGACUUUGUUAUUGAUUUGCCUAAUAAUACCUCGAAGUAAUAAUAUAGUGUGGGUGAUUAUUGAUUCAUCGACAAAAUCAACCUAUUUUUUACCAUUUUGAGUUCGUCUCUCCUUGGAAAGAUUGGCAAGCUUAUAUAUAGAGUAAAUUAUGAGCCUACAUAGAAUUAAUCUUGGUUACCAUGGCGUC